CUUCUCUGCCCCGGCCAGCAGCUCAGCUCACCUUAUUUCACCCUUACUUUUCAUCUCAGGAAGGAAAAUGGAUAAGCAAAUCGUGAUACAAGCAAGCAAAAAUGAACAUUAUACAACUUAAACUGGAACCACAGAAAUCCUCACCCAGAAAAGUCUGACCUCGUUGAGACCAGGGGAAGAAAAGAAGACCUAAGUUCCAGAGAAACUCAAGACUAAAGCUACUGACUGGUGCCCUCUCUAAGGAGAAGGCCCAACCUCUAGUUGGGCAUCCUGGAAUUCCUCUGCACACUCAACUGUGUUGUGAGAGAGAUCAGGUUACACUAACUUGCCCAUUAGUGUAUAUGAAUUACUUAGUUAAUGCAACAAAAUUCAGUGAGUUUCUUCUGUGUGAAAAGAACUGUAUCAGGAACUGGAAAUGUGAAAGUGCUCUCAAAUAUAGAAGGCACUAUUAGAUAAGGGCAUAAAUUAUUAUAAUACAAAGUGAAAGCAGAAGCAGAUUUAGCAUGAAGUGAUUGAAGCUCAAGUGUUAGUGCCCCUCACUUCCGGGGACCACUUCUAGGUUGGGAGAGACUCUAUGAACAUACUUACUUAUGUGGUCAUACAUUUUUGUAAAAUUUGCAAAAGUGAGAUUUUAUAAAAACCUGCAGUUAGUUAAACUGUCUCUUUCCUCUCUUACUUCCUACCUGUUGGCAUGGCUAAGGAUAUUUUUGAGAUGUAGCAAAACAAGUUAUAUUGAGAACACAGAUGAGUUUAUUAAAUAUAUUUAUGGGACUCACAAAUACUUCAUUUUAGAAUAAACUUAUUACCAGCUGCACAAGUAUAGGAGUGAUUUCUAGAAAUGUCUCAUGACCCCCUAUGCUAACUCAUUGGAUGUUCAUGGCAUAAGGGUAUAGAACAGAGGCUUUAUCACAGCAGAAACAUGCCCUGUGGCACUCAGCACAGGAAGCAGGUGGCUACUGGAGGGAACACAAAGUUUGAAGUGCGUGGAGCCAAAAGCUAGUCUGAGGAAAAUUCUUCUAAUCAGACAUGAAAAACUGUAAACAGAGGGUUUGAUUCUUGGCAGUGCCUGGUCAAAACAGAACUAUCUGAAGUCAGGAAUAUUCUCAAUAACACAGCAUAAAUAGUUAUACAAUUAUACAUACACCAUACAUUUUUUUCUUAUCGUUGGUAAUUGCAUAAAAACACAGAAUGUGUAGGUAUCUAGGGACAAUCUGGUGGCGGUAUGACAAAGAGUAUUUGUAUAUGUAAAGAUGUAUGUUUUAUUUAUUUCAGUUAUCAACAAUAAAACAAUUGUGACCAAAUAUUACAGAGUAAAGACUGAAUUAUCUUUCUAUUUUCUCUAUAGAAAAUAUUACAAUUAAGUAAUUCCAACAAGUAGUUACUUAAUGAAAAUGUUAUUUUUCUAGAUUUUGUAAUGCUUGUUGUAUUCAUUAAAUUGUUAAAAAUUUUAUUUUGUUGUGAUUUCCUUAUUCUAAAUAAACAUUCAUCUUCAUAUGUAAUUUUGUACUAAUCACUUCCCCUUAUUUUUCCUAAAGAGGUCCCCCUUAAGUGUUUAAAAUUCAGGCCUUAUUGAACCUGGAUCCACCCCUGUACAAAGUAAUAAGCUUGAUAAGACAAAAAUAUAAAGACUAAGGGACUUCUGAAAAGGAAGAAAUUAUUAAUAAUGAUCAGGGAAGGGUUUUAAUCUAAGCCCUGAUCAAGUGGAAGAAUUUGAAUUCAGAGGU